rnacentral:rRNA from 1 species
GUUUUCAUCUAUAACCAUGCCAUGCACGAUCUUGUCUGAUCUUGGAAGCUAAGCAGGUUCUGGCCUGGUUAGUACUUGGAAGGGAGACCACCUAGAAAGACCGGGUGCUGUAGGCA